AUUGAACGCUGGCGGCAGGCCUAACACAUGCAAGUCGAGCGGGGUUUUCGGACCUAGCGGCGGACGGGUGAGUAAUGCGUAGGAAGUUACCCGAUAGAGGGGAUACCAGUUGGAAACGACUGUUAAUACCGCAUAAUGUCUACGGACCAAAGUGUGGGACCUUCGGGCCACAUGCUAUCGGAUGCGCCUACGUGGGAUUAGCUAGUUGGUGGGGUAAUGGCUCACCAAGGCGACGAUCCCUAGCUGGUUUGAGAGGAUGAUCAGCCACACUGGAACUGAGACACGGUCCAGACUCCUACGGGAGGCAGCAGUGGGGAAUAUUGGACAAUGGGCGCAAGCCUGAUCCAGCAAUGCCGCGUGCAGGAUGAA
rnacentral:rRNA from 1 species